GGACUACCCGGGUAUCUAAUCCUGUUUGCUCCCCACGCUCUCGCGCCUCAGUGUCAGUAUCUGUCCAGGUAGCCGCCUUCGCCACUGGUGUUCCUUCCGAUCUCUACGCAUUUCACCGCUACACCGGAAAUUCCACUACCCUCUACAGUACUCUAGCUCAUCAGUCAUCGAUGCAGUUCCUAGGUUAAGCCCAGGGAUUUCACAUCAAUCUUAACAAACCACCUACGCGCCCUUUACGCCCAGUAAUUCCGAUUAACGCUCGCACCCUCUGUAUUACCGCGGCUGCUGGCAC
rnacentral:rRNA from 2 species